rnacentral:rRNA from 1 species
UACGAAGGGUGCAAGCGUUACUCGGAAUUACUGGGCGUAAAGCGUGUGUAGGCGGAUGCCUAAGUACCUUGUGAAAUCCCACGGCUCACCCGUGGAACGGCUGGGUAUACUGGGUGUCUUGGGCCAUUUAGGGGCAACUGGAACAAGCGGUGGAGCGGUGAAAUGCGUAGAUAUCGCUUGGAACGCCGAAGGUGAAAACAGGUUGCUGGGAAUGUGCCGACGCUGAGACACGAAAGCCAGGGGAGCGAACGGG